GAUAAGUAAUGUGAAUUGCAGAAUUCAGUGAAUCAUCGAAUCUUUGAACGCACCUUGCGCUCCUUGGUAUUCCUUGGAGCAUGCCUGUUUGAGUAUCAUGA
rnacentral:rRNA from 1 species